rnacentral:misc_RNA from 1 species
GAUGAAGAACGUAGUGAAAUGCGAUAAGUAAUGUGAAUUGCAGAAUUCAGUGAAUCAUCGAAUCUUUGAACGCACAUUGCGCCCGCCAUUAUUCUGGCGGGCAUGCCUGUUCGAGCGUCAUUACAACCCUCAGGCCCCCGGGCCUGGCGUUGGGGAUCGGCGGAAGCCCCCUGCGGGCACAACGCCGUCCCCCAAAUACAGUGGCGGUCCCGCCGCAGCUUCCAUUGCGUAGUAGCUAACACCUCGCAACUGGAGAGCGGCGCGGCCACGCCGUAAAACACCCAACUUCUGAAUGUUGACCUCGAAUCAGGUAGGAAUACCCGCUGAACUUAAGCAUAUCAAUAAGCGGAGGA